rnacentral:misc_RNA from 1 species
GAUGAAGAACGUAGCAAAAUGCGAUAAGUAAUGUGAAUUGCAGAAUUCAGUGAAUCAUCGAAUCUUUGAACGCACAUUGCGCCCGCUGGUAUUCCGGCGGGCAUGCCUGUUCGAGCGUCAUUUCAACCCUCAAGCCCCCGGGUUUGGUGUUGGGGAUCGGCUCUGCCCUUCAGGGCGGUGCCGCCCCCGAAAUACAUUGGCGGUCUCGCUGCAGCCUCCAUUGCGUAGUAGCUAACACCUCGCAACUGGAACGCGGCGCGGCCAUGCCGUAAAACCCCAACUUCUGAAUGUUGACCUCGGAUCAGGUAGGAAUACCCGCUGAACUUAAGCAUAUCAAUAAGCGGAGGA